UACGAAGGGGGCUAGCGUUGUUCGGAAUUACUGGGCGUAAAGCGCACGUAGGCGGUUUUCCAAGUUGGAGGUGAAAUCCCUGGGCUUAACCCAGGAACUGCCCCCAAAACUGGAUGACUCGAGUCCGAGAGAGGUGAGUGGAAUUUCCAGUGUAGAGGUGAAAUUCGUAGAUAUUGGAAAGAACACCAGUGGCGAAGGCGGCUCACUGGCUCGGUACUGACGCUGAGGUGCGACAGCGUGGGGAGCAAACAGG
rnacentral:rRNA from 2 species